AGAAGGAAGAUGCUAAAAGUCAUAAAACACCAUAUGACAAUAGAGUUCAGGUGCAUCCUAAUGGAAAGACCUCAUUAAUACCCAAAUACAUUCACCUCAGACACCAGAAAGAUCACCAUUAGAGAUAAAAACGAUACCCUAGAGUAGCCUUUCUCUACCAGGGAUGUAGCAUGAGAAUUAAGUACUAAUGCAUUAAAGCAGCCACUGUAUGCAAUGCAUUCCCUUCUCUCACUUAUCUAUUAAUAGUAUAGUAUUAGUAUAACCAUCCUUAGAGAACUUAGAAAAUAAUAACUCAUGCCUACCAUGAGACUGUUCUGGGAAAAGAAGAAAAUAAUAAAAUAUAAUAGUAAUUCAAAUUAUUUUCUGUAAAUCAGAUGAGAAAUCCCAGAUGUCUUCCAGACUGGAAUGCAGUGCUGUGAUCACAGCUCACUGCAGCCUUGAUCUCCCAGGCUCAAGCAAUCCUCCUGCCUCAGCCUCCUGAAUUGCUAGGGGACGUGUGCCACCAAGCCUGGCUUUUUUUUUUUUUUUUAUGCUUGUCUACAGACAGAAGAAGGUUAGAAACUGACUUCUGAUGAGACAUGUAAAAUAGAGUGUGCUCAUGCACAAUUCCUAGGCCAUGCCACACAGUUCCCACUUUCAUCAUUCUUAGUGAACGCAUAAGUGAAACAGGAAUAGAAUAUUUAAUGUUAUCUUUUUUAUAUAUAUCAGUAAGCAAAGAAGCAAACCUGCACGGCUCCACCUCAGGGAACCCCAAGGGGUACAUAUGUGCAGGGACUUAACCUCCCAUAUCAGACUCUAAGGAAGCAGAGUAAUAAGACCCUGACAUGCUACUGGCUGACAUAUAGGUUUUAUUAGAUUAAAAGCUCUGAAAUGGCCAUAAGGCAGAAUGAGUCGUUGCAUAUUUUCUGCUUCUAGAAGGCAUAGAAUUCUAGUCCAUAAACCAAGUGCAUGCAGCUCAUGUCUGUAAAUCUUUUUUACAUCAGUGUUGCCUGUGUUUCUUCCUAUUGUUUAGGAAUAUAUUUCCUUAAACAUAUGACUUAUGCUAAUACAGUAUUUCUGAUUCAAUAUCAACUAUUUCUGUUCUGUAUAAAAAUAACUUUAUUUAUAAAAUAUUUUUAAGUACUUUAAAACAUAUAUGGUCAAUGAUCUAUUCCAAUAACCCAAAGUCUGCACAUAAUAAAUCAUUCCAGAAAAAAUUACUAUAUUUCUCUAACAUAUAGACUAGGCUUAAUUGUUCUUCUUUAUCUAAUAUUGUAAUUAGGUGGUAGCAUGAUUAAAAGAUCUUUAUAUCUGCUUAAAACCCUAAAUUUCUAACUAUGUUUCCUAACAUUUUAAAUACAAUUACAAUUUUUAUUUUUUUAGAUGUUGAGAUAUUGACGGUUCUUAGCUCUCCAAUUAUAUGCCAGCUCUCCUUGAACAUGGAAUAAUCAAUAGUCUAAGUUGGCCCCAAAGAUUACCCCUCCAGCAAUAGUUUCGCUUCUACAUAAUUCCAGGGCAUGUCACUAUAAUAGAUUUUACUCUCAUUAUUUGGUCAUGUUACAUAGCACACUUGACCUUAAAAUAGAGCACAAUUUAAUCACAUGAGCCUUUCUAUAAGCAGAGAGUUUGUCUAGUUGAAAGCAGAAGGGAAAUCAGAUAAAUCUGAGGUGUGAUAUGGAUUCAAUAUGAGGGCAGUUCUUUAUUACAGAAACGGAAGGGGCCUGUGGCAUAACCUGAUAGCAGCCUGGAGGAGGUGAGGUCACUCCCAGCUGACAGAUAGUGAGGCAAGAGGGACCUCAAUCUUACAACCACAAGGAAACAAAUGCUGCCAACACUCUGAGGGGCCUUUGAGCCGAUCUUUUUGUAGUCAGGCCUCCAGAUGACGAUGCAGUUGGCCAGCACCCUGACAGCCUUAUGAGACCCUGAGAAGAGGACUUGGCCAAAAUGUGGCAGGCUCCCGACCAACAGAAAUUGUGCAAUAAUAAAUCUGUGUUAAGUGGCUAAAUUUGUGGCAAUGCAAUAGACAGAAAAAUACAGUGCUAUGUGGAUUAAGGAAGUUCAGUGGAAGGUAUUGUAUUUUGAAAUUUCUAAGCAAUUUUUAUUUUAUUUUUGAUAUUAUUAUUAUUAUUUUUGAGAUGGAGUCUUGCUCUGUCGCCCAGGCUGGAGCGCAGUGGCAUGAUCUCGGCACACUGCAACCUCUGCCUCCCGGGUUCAAGCGAUUCUCCUGCCUCAGCCUCCUGAGUAGCUGGGAUUGCAGGCAGGCACCACCACACCCAUCUAAUUUUACACAUAUACAUAUAUAGUGUAUAUAUACACAUAUAUAUGUACACAUAUAUAUAUACACAUAUGUAUAUAUGUAUAUGUGUAUAUAUACACUAUAUAUGUAUAUGUAUGUGUGUGUGUGUGUGUAAACUGGGGUUGGGGAAAUGGAGAGAUGUUGGUCAAGGGAUAGAAAUUUUCAAUUAUGCAGAAAAAGUAAUUUCUGGGGACCUAACGUAGAGCAUGGUGACUAUAGUUAGUAAUACUAUAUUGUAUAAUUGAAAUCAGCUUAGAGAGUAGGUCUUAAAUGUUCUCACUACACAAAGAGAUAAUUACGAGAGGUGAUGUAUAUGUUAACU
rnacentral:lncRNA from 10 species